rnacentral:rRNA from 1 species
AGUCGGACGGGAUUACUUUUGGUAGCAAUACCGAAAGUGAUCCAGUGGCGAACGGGUGCGUAACACGUGGGCAAUCUACCGAGAAGUGGGGGAUAGCUCGCCGAAAGGCGAAUUAAUACCGCAUGUGAUCAGAGGCGACAUCGCUUCGAAAUCAAAGGUGGCGCAAGCUACCGCUUUUUGAGGAGCCCGCGGCCUAUCAGCUUGUUGGUGAGGUAACGGCUCACCAAGGCAUUGACGGGUAGCUGGUCUGAGUGGACGACCAGUCACACUGGGACUGAGACACGGCCCAGACACCUACGGGUGGCAGCAGUCGAGAAUUUUUCUCAAUGGGGGAAACCCUGAAGGAGCGACGCCGCGUGGAGGAUGAAGGUCUUCGGGUUGUAAACUCCUGUCAUUUGGGAACAAGCUGUGCGCGUUAACUGCGCGCACAUUGAUAGUACCAGAAGAGGAAGAGACGGCUAACUCUGUGCCAGCAGCCGCGGUAAUACAGAGGUCUCAAGCGUUGUUCGGAUUCAUUGGGCGUAAAGGGUGCGUAGGCGGCGCGGUAAGUCGGGUGUGAAAUUUCGAGGCUUAACUUCGAAACUGCAUUCGAUACUGCCGUGCUUGAGAACUGGAGAGGAGACUGGAAUUUACGGUGUAGCGGUGAAAUGCGU